rnacentral:rRNA from 1 species
AACGAACGCUGGCGGCAUGCCUAAUACAUGCAAGUCGAACGAGAUCUUCGGAUCUAGUGGCGCACGGGUGCGUAACGCGUGGGAAUCUGCCCUUGGGUUCGGAAUAACUUCGGGAAACUGAAGCUAAUACCGGAUGAUGACGAAAGUCCAAAGAUUUAUCGCCCAGGGAUGAGCCCGCGUAGGAUUAGCUAGUUGGUGGGGUAAAGGCGUCACCAAGGCAACGAUCCUUAGCUGGUCUGAGAGGAUGAUCAGCCACACUGGGACUGAGACACGGCCCAGACUCCUACGGGAGGCAGCAGUAGGGAAUAUUGGACAAUGGGCGAAAGCCUGAUCCAGCAAUGCCGCGUGAGUGAUGAAGGCCUUAGGGUUGUAAAGCUCUUUUACCCGAGAUGAUAAUGACAGUAUCGGGAGAAUAAGCUCCGGCUAACU